rnacentral:rRNA from 1 species
AGUAUCUUUCUCAUGCAGUCGGACGGCAGCACGGGCUUCGGCCUGGUGGCGAGUGGCGAACGGGUGAGUAAUGUAUCGGAACGUGCCCAGUAGCGGGGGAUAACUACRCGAAAGCGUGGCUAAUACCGCAUACGCCCUACGGGGGAAAGCGGGGGACCUUCGGGCCUCGCACUAUUGGAGCGGCCGAUAUCGGAUUAGCUAGUUGGUGGGGUAACGGCCUACCAAGGCGACGAUCCGUAGCUGGUUUGAGAGGACGACCAGCCACACUGGGACUGAGACACGGCCCAGACUCCUACGGGAGGCAGCAGUGGGGAAUUUUGGACAAUGGGGGCAACCCUGAUCCAGCCAUCCCGCGUGUGCGAUGAAGGCCUUCGGGUUGUAAAGCACUUUUGGCAGGAAAGAAACGGCACGGGCUAAUAUCCUGUGCAACUGACGGUACCUGCAGAAUAAGCACCGGCUAACUACGUGCCAGCAGCCGCGGUAAUACGUAGGGUGCAAGCGUUAAUCGGAAUUACUGGGCGUAAAGCGUGCGCAGGCGGUUCGGAAAGAAAGAUGUGAAAUCCCAGGGCUUAACCUUGGAACUGCAUUUUUAACUACCGGGCUAGAGUGUGUCAGAGGGAGGUGGAAUUCCGCGUGUAGCAGUGAAAUGCGUAGAUAUGCGGAGGAACA